rnacentral:tRNA from 1 species
GCAUUGGUGGUUCAAGGGUAGAAUUCUCGCCUUCCAUGAGGAAGACCUGGUUUGAUUCCUGCCAGUGCA